GGGGCAUUAGCUCAGCUGGGAGAGCGCUUGCAUGGCAUGCAAGAGGUCAGCGGUUCGAUCCCGCUAUGCUCCA
rfam:Amphibacillus xylanus NBRC 15112 DNA, complete genome.